CCCACAGAAGAGUUUGUUUAGGCUUAUGGUUCCAGUGGGGUGAGUCCAUGAUGCAGAGUGGAGGCAUGGAAGCCGGAACUGAAAGCCAAGGGCUCACGUACUUAACAGUAAGCACAAGCCGAGCAACCAGGAGUGGGGUGAGGCCUUGAGCUCUCAAAGCCCACCCACAGUGACAGUGACAUACUUCUGUCAGCAAGGCCACAUCUCCUAAGCCUCUCAAAGAGCAUCCAAAUGGGAACGAGUGUUCAAGUGUCUGAGAUUUAUUUAUUUUUGUGUUUUACCUACAUGUCUGUAUGUCUGUGUACCACUUGCAUGCCUGGUACCCACAGAGACCAGAAGAGGGCAUCAGAUCCCCUGAGAGUGGCGUUACAGUUUUGAACAGCCCUGUGGGUGCUGGGAAUUGAACCUAGGUCCUCUGGGAAAGCAGGCAGUGCUCUUAACCACUGAACCAUCUCUCCAGCAUAAAAUGAGUCUUAACAGGUUCAAAAGAUAUAUGUGCAAAGUAUCUUCUCCAAUCACAAUGAUAUAGAAACGAGCAACAUAAGGAAAACUGGAAAUUUCACAAAAAUGUGGCAACACCCAUGGUACUAAACAAUCAGAAGCAGAGAUGAAUGAAAAUUAGGAAAUGCAGUAAUAGCAGUGCUGAGGAAAUGUAUAGCCAUGGAACCUACAUUAAAAAGAAGAAAGCCAGGUGUGAUGGCUCAUGCCUAUAAUCACAAUUUAGGAGUCUGAGACAGGAGAAUUGCUGUGAAUUAAAGGCCAACCUGGGCCAUAAGCUUCAAAAACAUUAACCCAUACAUACGCGCGCACACACACACACACACACACACACACACACACACACACACAUAUAAUUAGUGAGGGGCUGAAGCAGAAGGAUUGCAAGUUCAAGGACUGUCUGGCCUAUGGAGGGAGUUCAGGACCAGCCCUGGGGAACUUAGUGAAACCAUGUUUCAAAAAGUAGAAAGAGUGCUCAGUGGCAGAGUACUUACUUAGCUUGCACAGGGCCCUGAAUUCUGGCCCCAAUACUGGCAGUAGGGGUCUGUCUCAACUGACACAGAAAGUUUGUUCCUGCCAUGCUUAUCUCUGACACACCCCUGCCAAGUGACCAAGUUAAGCUUGUCUCUCUGGUCCCUCUUUUCACAUGAUCUGCAUUGGGAAGAACUAUUGAGUGCCUCUCAGUCUGCCUCCUGAUAGCCUCUUCAUGCGGGCUUUCUACUGUGUGUUGAGGAGCCGAAAUCUGAAGGCAUAUUAACAAGUUAUCAGCUAGAGCCCUGCUCAAGCAGCAGUCUACUAUUGACACUCCUGCGGUGGGCAGGAGACCGUGAAUAUUGCCUGUGUAUCCUGGCCAGUUUUAUAUGUCAACUUGACACAAGCUAGAGUCAUCUGAUAGGAGGAAACCUCGAUUGAAAAAAAUGCCUCUAUAAAGUCAGACUGUAGGCAAGCUUGUAAUUAAUGAUUGGUGUGGGUGGGGCCAACCCCUGGGCUGGUGGUCCUGGGUUCUAUAAGAAAGCAGGCUGAGCAUGCUGGGAGGAACAAGCCAGUGGACAGCAGUCCCCUCUGGCCUCUGCAUCAGCUCCUGCCUCCAGGUGCCCAUCUGCUUUGAGUCCUGCCUUGGUUUCCCUCAAUGGACUGUGAGUCAGGAUGUGUGUGCCGAAUAAACCCUUCCCCCACGCAAGUUGCUUUCCGUCAUGGUGUUUCAUCACAGCAAUAGUAACCCUAACUGAUAUACCAGGGUCACCAGAGAACAAGUCAGGUAGGUAUUGGUUUCAAAAGAGCAGGGAAUUCAUGAAUCCAGUCAGUGUUACACCAGGCCAGGGACAGAAUGAAGUCAUAGGGACUCUGCCCACUGAGCACCGUUGGGUCCAGGGACCAGCAGACACUGUAGUAAUGGGCCUAGAGACAAAGGACUCAGCCUCUAGUGGCUGCAAAGCCCGUGCCCAAUCCUUCACCCACCCUGCUGGAUAAACAGAGACUCAGCCCAGUAUCCAGUAUCCAAAAAGCCAGCUGGCUGGCCGGUGGCUGUGGGAACCCAGAGAUGUAUCCUUGUGGGAUUAACAGCACAGCCGCCAGUAUGAGACAGCUGUGUAAAGGUGCGUGUACUGUUGAUUCUUCACCAAGACCCCUUGAGUAAAUCCCACGUUCGUGAUGGUGGAGAGCAAUAUUUGACAUCUCAUUUGGCCAUUGCGAAGGUUGAUCCACCGCAGAGAAUAUCUGAGCCACAGGAAACUGAGAUCACUGUGUCACACCAGCCAGAACUCAGGAAACAUGAAAACACAUUUUCAACUUCUAAGUUCUUGCCACCUCUCAGGACACCAUUCUUUCUCCCUUGAUCCCAGUCACAAAGGAAAGUGUAGUUUCUGCUGUAAACAGCCACAUAAAUUGGAAGCUGGAAAUACAGACAGGCAAGGCAACAGCUGCUAAAUGAGGCUGGGUGGCUCCUGUGGCUACCGACGUGGCCUCGGUUAGGCAAGACUGAAGCUGCGCUGCUGUGUUAGUAACCACACAGCAGCCCCCAGAACGCUAAUUUCAGUCAGUGCCCUCUGACAAUGCACCCCAAUGAGCAGGGAGAGAAGGAAAUGUCAGGUUAUGUCCCAGGCCCACCUCCCGCCCACCCUCCAUCUGUGCCUGUGUCAAGGCUCACGGGAACAUAUGCUGCCUGUUGCUCACUGACCAUCUGUUCACAGGGCUGUGAAGUGUGCCCGUUACCUUGGAGAUGGGACCCUCGAUUGGCGCAAUACCACAAACAUUUGCUGCUCAGGUGUCCACAAAAGGCCCAUCUCCAAGGAUAAGAACUUCAAAGUCAUCCAUGGCUAUAUAAUGGCCCUGUGGACGAGAUCAAAAGCGAGCCCUGCUCUCACACGGUCUUAAGGAACUCACAAAUGCCCAGGUGUGGAGAGUUGUAUGGCUGAGACAGCCGGGAAAAGAGAUCUGGGUGUAGAACUCUCAGCCACUUCUCCAGCACCAUGUCUGCCUGAGUAAGACUGUACUUCCUGCCAUGAUGAUAAUGGACUAAACCUCUGAAACUAGUCAAGGAUACAAGAAAGGGGUUAUGGAAUCUCCUUCCUCAUCUAAGAAAAGCCACUGAGGUCAGGCAUGUGUCAAGAGUGUUCCUGGAUGGAGGCCCAGGGGGGCCAUCGUGUGAAGCUGUGAAGGUGAAGCCUGGAUUGUGUUGGAGACUCUAAGAUGUUGGAGAUGCCAGAGUCGUGGGAUACCUGCCAAGAAGAGGUACUAACAGGGUGUGGAAUCAGCCCAAGAGAGAGAAGUGUGCUGCAGUCAGCAAAGCUGAAAGGAGUUGGAGAUCCAAAGAGUACUUUGACAUCAGACAAGGAGAUGCAGAAUUUGUAGUUUGCUCUGUUGUUUUUAGUCUUUGGUCUAGUAUUUCCUCACUAUGCUCCCCUUCCUCCAUUUUGGAAUGGUAAUGUGUAUUCUAUGCAUUGUAUGUUGGAAGUAUGUGAUCUGCCUUUUUGUUUUCUUUUUUUUGUCUUGUUUUGUUUUUUUAAAACAGGGGAUUACAGUUAAGAGGCUGCCAUGAGUCUCAGAAGAGACUUUGGACUUUAUAACAAUGUUGAGACUGUUAAUAAACUAUGGGGACUUUUGAA